GCCAGGUUGGAUGGGGCUGGGAGCACCCUGGGCAGGUGGGAGGUGUCUCUGUCCAUGGCAGCGGGGUGAGAACUAGAUGGUCUUUAAGGUCCCUUCCAACCCAAACAAUUCUUUUAAUUCCUGUUUGUUCCCUGUUUAGAUUUAUUAUUCUUAUAAUGACUGACUAGAUUAUGAGGGUGGUUACCAUAACACUGAGAUGGUUUAGAGUUGAGAAAAUAAAGUUUCUAACAAAGUUAGUCAUCCACAUUCACAGGGAAUUAAGAAAUAGCAUGAGCAAUACUAGAAAAAAGAGGGUACAUAGCCAUAAAACUUUUAAAGGCACAACACAACGCUUUUAUUAGCAAGGAAGCUGGUUGUGGAAAGAAAAUAAAUACAACAAAGUGGUUUGGGGGGGUGUUACGUUUUUUGUUUGGUUUUGGUGGGUUUGGAUUUAUUUUUGCUAUUUUCCCCUAACUACAGUGAAAAUAUGCUAGCAAAAUCCCUGCCGUUCCCCUUGUAAGCCAAGGUCUGCUUCCUCAGGAAGGCUGAAGGCACUGAGCAGCUGCCGUUAGCGUGCAGUCCUGUCAGCUCAAGCAGCUCCCAACAACAAUCCAUAGCCCUAACCAGCUUUAAACAGAGUAUUUACACCACGCAUGAGGAAGAAGAUGAAGUACUUGACCUCAUGAGACAUGUCGCUGCAAAAUUUCCUUUCUACAGUGCAGUGCCAAGGCUGACUGUAUUUCUUCUCAAACUCCUGCGGAAGGGAUCACUAGGAUUUUAGUAGCAGCACAGCUCCUCCCCAAAAGUUGACCAGAGAUAUUUUUUUUUUCAUUAAUGUGUCUCUUCUUAACAAGCAUAACUUUUUGAAAAGGCAGUGAAGAAGUACUCAAAUGAGGAAACUUUCCAUGAGUGCAUGCAAACAUUUCUGAUCAGUUAUUACAACCCCAAAUUAUCUCCACACCACAACUUCUCAGAUUCCAAUUAGGAGCCACAAGGAAAAUCUGACAAGCUUGAACUCUGCUAUUCACUAACACAGAAUGUUGUUCUUACAAGUGAAAAAAAAAAAUAAAACCUUUUUAUACCUCUGUUAGGGUGACUGGAAAUGAAGACCUCCCCACAGAAGCAAUUGUACCAUUUAGUUGAAUAACUUUUCAAACAGGUCUUCCACUUAGAUUUGUGUAAUAUUUAACCUCCACUAGUACCCUUAGGUUUUGGGGUUUUUUAUUCUCCUGAGAUGGCAAAGUAGAAAGUAUAUCAGAACUAGAUCUUUUGCACAUCUGUUGUUCUUCAUGCAUAUAUAAAAAUAGGUAAUCUGUGGACAUCAGAUAAACAAUGCUCCAAGACUCAGGAUUUUAGCAUGGUUCAGAACAUAAAAGGAAGAUGUGAAUGCAGAUGAUGUGCAGAAAAAUACUUUUCCCUGCAAAUUCUGAACCAGCUAGCCAAUCUUCACAACUAUUACAGAACUGCAAACAGCACAUUAAGACUAAACUGAAAACGACUUCUUAAGUCAAGGACUAGGUAAAAAAAGGCAUGCCCUCUGAGGAAAGUUACAGCAGACUUCAAAGGGUUGCAUUUGCUACCAACUAAUCAUUCACACUGGGAAAGGCCAGCAAAUGCUAUGCUAUUCUGCUAGACAGUAAUGAUGAAAACAAUUAAAAAUAGAAGGUUUGGCAAAACAAAAACUAGAAUAGGUACAUUUGAACUAUGGGAAAAGGAACAGAGAUACACCAGCCCACAGGAAAAGUCCACUGUAUCCUGUGUUCAAAGAACUUGCUCUUCCAAAAAGUGUAGUAACACCCACCCUGCUCGACUUCUGGUGUGGAUAGUGUUCAACAAAACGAUAUUACAGUCAAACCUUUACCCUCUUUAUAAGGGCUGCAAUUGCUCUUUCAACAUUGUAUUUCUC